rnacentral:rRNA from 1 species
AGCGAACGCUGGCGGCAGGCCUAACACAUGCAAGUCGAACGGACCUUUCGGGGUUAGUGGCGGACGGGUGAGUAACACGUGGGAACGUGCCUUUUGGUUCGGAAUAGCUCCUGGAAACGGGUGGUAAUGCCGAAUGUGCCCUUUGGGGGAAAGAUUUAUCGCCAUUAGAGCGGCCCGCGUCUGAUUAGCUAGUUGGGGAGGUAAAGGCUCACCAAGGCGACGAUCAGUAGCUGGUCUGAGAGGAUGACCAGCCACAUUGGGACUGAGACACGGCCAAAACUCCUACGGGAGGCAGCAGUGGGGAAUCUUGCGCAAUGGGCGAAAGCCUGACGAAGCCAUGCCGCGUGAAUGAUGAAGGUCUUAGGAUUGUAAAAUUCUUUCACCGGGGACGAUAAUGACGGUACCCGGAGAAGAAGCCCCGGCUAACUUCGUGCCAGCAGCCGCCGUAAAAC